AGCUCCACAGGUUCUUGCUUUUCCAAACCUAGAGGGCAGUGCAUGAAGCCAGAGGUCAUCAGCCAUGCUCCAGACACUGUGGUUCCAGAUUUAGCAUUCAUUGAUGAUUUUUGCCAUUGAUGAUCUUUACAAUGAGGACUGCAAAUCUUCUAGUACUUCCAUGUUAUAUUUCUUCGCUCAGAAGAGACUUAAGUACAAAGGAAAGCUUGUUGACAUGAUGGACUGAGAAGGACUAUGGUGUGAGUUAGAGAGAUGCCACAGUGGGACGAAUUUCUAUAAAAGUGGUCAGCUCAUUUUGACAUUUUUGCUUCCGUAUACAACCUUGUAAUAAAUACUCAAAGAGGA